rnacentral:sRNA from 1 species
AGAUCUGCGGCCGGGAGCCCGGGCUGUGAGGAGCCGAGGGGAGCGGGGUGCGCUGUCGGGCGCUGACCGCCCUCCCGCCCGCCGUCAGAGGUCUGCAGUGACAGCUCUUCUUCAGAGAGAAGGACAACAAGGUCCCAGUGGCCCCUCCUCAGAGGUUUCCGGUGGAUUUACUUCUCCACGUCUACGGAUUUACUGUGCUACCUGUGUCACCAAAGCAACUGCUUCUCUGAGCAGAAAGUUUCCACUACAAAUUAAAGAUUAAGACCCAGCUCCCCUGAUGCUUCAUGGUGCUACAGGAACUUGGGCAGGGUCUGCAGUAGGCCUCCGCAUGGCCCACCGAGGUGAACCAUGACCGGCUGGCCAACACUCGCCAUUGACCAGCCGGAGUUGCAUCUCGCCAGGAGGAGGUGUUUGACAAGCGAGCAGCCACCAAAUUGAAAGAGCAGCUGCACGGCUACUUCGAGUACAUCCUGUACGACGUUGGGGUCUACGGCUGCCAGGGCUGCUGCAGCUUCAAGUGUCU